rnacentral:rRNA from 1 species
UACGAAGGGGGCUAGCGUUGCUCGGAAUGACUGGGCGUAAAGGGCGCGUAGGCGGAUGGCACAGUCAGAUGUGAAAUUCCCGGGCUUAACCUGGGGGCUGCAUUUGAUACGUGUUGUCUAGAGUGAGGAAGAGGGUUGUGGAAUUCCCAGUGUAGAGGUGAAAUUCGUAGAUAUUGGGAAGAACACCAGUGGCGAAGGCGGCCAUCUGGACGGCUAUUGACGCUGAGACGCGAAAGCGUGGGGAGCAAACAGG